UGGAAAAUGAUGAGAGUAUAUCAUGAAUCAAGGCUUGUGAUUAAUCCAAUAUUGUGCUUCUGAGACCCAAA
rnacentral:snoRNA from 14 species